CCUACGGGCGGCAGCAGUGGGGAAUAUUGGACAAUGGGCGAAAGCCUGAUCCAGCCAUGCCGCGUGUGUGAAGAAGGCCUUCGGGUUGUAAAGCACUUUCAGUGGGGAAGAAAGCCUUGGGGCUAAUACCCUCGAGGAAGGACAUCACCCACAGAAGAAGCACCGGCUAACUCCGUGCCAGCAGCCGCGGUAAUACGGAGGGUGCGAGCGUUAAUCGGAAUUACUGGGCGUAAAGCGCGCGUAGGCGGUCUGAUAAGCCGGUUGUGAAAGCCCCGGGCUCAACCUGGGAACGGCAUCCGGAACUGUCAGGCUAGAGUGCAGGAGAGGAAGGUAGAAUUCCCGGUGUAGCGGUGAAAUGCGUAGAGAUCGGGAGGAAUACCAGUGGCGAAGGCGGCCUGCUGGACUGACACUGACGCUGAGGUGCGAAAGCGUGGGUAGCAAACAGGAUUAGAUACCCUUGUAGUC
rnacentral:rRNA from 1 species